UGGGGAAUUUUGGACAAUGGGCGAAAGCCUGAUCCAGCAAUGCCGCGUGUGUGAAGAAGGCCUUCGGGUUGUAAAGCACUUUUGUCCGGAAAGAAAUCCUUGGCUCUAAUACAGUCGGGGGAUGACGGUACCGGAAGAAUAAGCACCGGCUAACUACGUGCCAGCAGCCGCGGUAAUACGUAGGGUGCAAGCGUUAAUCGGAAUUACUGGGCGUAAAGCGUGCGCAGGCGGUUUGCUAAGACCGAUGUGAAAUCCCCGGGCUCAACCUGGGAACUGCAUUGGUGACUGGCAGGCUAGAGUAUGGCAGAGGGGGGUAGAAUUCCACGUGUAGCAGUGAAAUGCGUAGAGAUGUGGAGGAAUACCGAUGGCGAAGGCAGCCCCCUGGGCCAAGUACUGACGCUCAUGCACGAAAGCGUGGGGAGCAAACAGGAUUAGAUACCCUGGUAGUCCACGCCCUAAACGAUGUCAACUAGUUGUUGGGGAUUCAUUUCCUUAGUAACGUAGCUAACGCGUGAAGUUGACCGCCUGGGGAGUACGGUCGCAAGAUUAAAACUCAAAUGAAUUGACGGGGUCAUAGCUGUUUCCU
rnacentral:rRNA from 1 species